GGGGGGGGCAAGCGUUGUUCGGAUUUACUGGGCGUAAAGGGCUCGUAGGCGGCCAUCUAAGUCGGUUGUGAAAUCCCUCGGCUCAACCGGGGAACUGCGACCGAUACUGGAUGGCUUGAAGCCGGGAGAGGGAUGCGGAAUUCCAGGUGUAGCGGUGAAAUGCGUAGAUAUCUGGAGGAACACCCGUGGCGAAGGCGGCAUCCUGGACCGGUCUUGACGCUGAGGAGCGAAAGCUAGGGUAGCAAACGGGAUUAGAUACCCCGGGUAGUCCUAGCCCUAAACGAUGAAUGCUUGGUGUGGCGGGUAUCGAUCCCCUGCCGUGCCGUAGCUAACGCGUUAAGCAUUCCGCCUGGGGAGUACGGUCGCAAGGCUG
rnacentral:rRNA from 1 species